UACAGAGGUCUCAAGCGUUGUUCGGAUUCAUUGGGCGUAAAGGGUGCGUAGGUGGCGGGGCAAGUUUGGUGUGAAAUCCCGGGGCUCAACCUCGGAACUGCACUGAAUACUGCCUUGCUAGAGCACUGGAGAGGGAACUGGAAUUUACGGUGUAGCAGUGAAAUGCGUAGAUAUCGUAAGGAAGACCAGUGGCGAAGGCGAGUCUCUGGACAGUUACUGACGCUGAGGCACGAAGGCCAGGGGAGCAAACGGG
rnacentral:rRNA from 1 species